AAUUUCUCUCACAAUAUGAGAGGAUUAAAAAAAUGCUUCUUUUCUCAAGUAACGGCAUUAUUCUAUCAAUCUUCCCACAAAUCUCAAACAAUCGACUGUGUAAUUGAGAGAUAUAGUCUCUCUCACUCCUUCUCAAACAAUCGGCGCAGAUUCAGUCUCUCUCUUUCAAUUUCGAGGCACAAAAAUUGGCUGUGUAAUUGGGAGAUUCAGUCUCUCUCGCUCAAUCUCAAACAAUCAGCGCAGAUUCAGUCUCUCUCUUUCAAUUUCGAUGUCACAAAUUAGGGGUGUGCUUCAUCCAUGGCUGCAAAUGCCUCUUCUCAACAACUAUAGAUUCAUCCAUGGUUGCAAACGAGGCAGAUUCAGUUUAUCUCUCUUUCAAUUUCGAGGGCCCAAAUUUGAGAGGUGCUUCAUCCAUGGCUGCACCCUACACUACAUAUCCAUGAUUCAAGGCUAUUCCUCUACAAGUGGGCUUUAGAAAUUACAGAGAGAGGGAAAAGUUGCAGGUCAUUCUUCGUCCUUGGAGCAACAACAGAGUUUGGGAUUGGGCGCUUAGUACUGCGAAAAAAGUGUGCAGAGGCUGAAAGGCAUCUUGAGUACUUACCAAGAAAAGAAGGUUCUUCUUCAAGUUCAUAAAAGAUGAGAGGUAUUAUAGAUGAUUUAUCAUUGUACUAUGUUUUUGUGAUGGCUUGCU